UGUGUGUGUGUGUGUGUGUGUAGUGUUUCAAGAAUGAACAAGAAAUAAUGUGCAUGGGAAGGUCUGAAAAACACUCAUUCAUUGCAUAGUUCAUAAGUGGAGAGUUUUCUUUGACCAGAUAUUUUUAAUGAAAAGAUACAAAGCAGAACAAAAUCUGUCAUUGCAAUUUGCUAGAGACAAAAAAAAAUGCACAACAUAUACGUGGGAAUGAAAGUUUAAAUUGCCCUUGCACAGAGUUGAAUAACUGAAAUAAAAAUGCAUGAUUCCACAGCACAAAAAUUCCAAUGUUCCUGAGCAGAACAAUAAAAAAUAAAGACAGGAAUUCCCAUAAGAAGGGAGGGAGGAGAGAG
rnacentral:misc_RNA from 1 species